AUUGAACGCUGGCGGCAUGCCUUACACAUGCAAGUCGAACGGCAGCACGGGUGCUUGCACCUGGUGGCGAGUGGCGAACGGGUGAGUAAUACAUCGGAACGUACCUUAUCGUGGGGGAUAACGCAGCGAAAGCUGUGCUAAUACCGCAUACGCCCUGAGGGGGAAAGCGGGGGAUCGAAGGACCUCGCGCGAUUAGAGCGGCCGAUGCCGGAUUAGCUUGUUGGUGGGGUAAAAGCCCACCAAGGCGACGAUCAGUAGCUGGUCUGAGAGGACGAUCAGCCACACUGGGACUGAGACACGGCCCAGACUCCUACGGGAGGCAGCAGUGGGGAAUUUUGGACAAUGGGGGCAACCCUGAUCCAGCAAUGCCGCGUGAGUGAGGAAGGCCUUCGGGUUGUAAAGCUCUUUUGUCAGGGAAGAAACACCGGCUCUAACACAGUCCGGGAAUGACGGUACCUGAAGAAUAAGCACCGGCUAACUACGUGCCAGCAGCCGCAGUAA
rnacentral:rRNA from 1 species